rnacentral:rRNA from 1 species
UGCAGUCGAACGGUGAUAGCAAUAUCAUAGUAGGCGCACGGGUGCGUAACACGUAUGCAACCUACCUUAUACUGAGGGAUAGCCUUUCGAAAGGGAGAUUAAUACCUCAUAACACAUCGAACUGGCAUCAGUUUAUUGUUAAAGAUUUAUUGGUAUAUGAUGGGCAUGCGUCCAAUUAGUUAGUUGGCGAGGUAACGGCUCACCAAGACGAUGAUUGGUAGGGGAACUGAGAGGUUAAUCCCCCACACUGGCACUGAGAUACGGGCCAGACUCCUACGGGAGGCAGCAGUAGGGAAUAUUGGGCAAUGGAGGCAACUCUGACCCAGCCAUGCCGCGUGCAGGAAGAGGGCGUUAUGCAUUGUAAACUGCUUUUAUAUAGGAAGAAAUAGACCUUGCGAGGUAAGUUGACGGUACUAUAUGAAUAAGCACCGGCUAACUCCGUGCCAGCAGCCGCGGUAAUACGGAGGGUGCAAGCGUUGUCCGGAUUUAUUGGGUUUAAAGGGUGCGUAGGCGGUUUAUCAAGUCAGUGGUGAACGACGGUCGCUCAACGAUUGCAGUGCCAUUGAUACUGGUAGACUUGAGU